rnacentral:tRNA from 1 species
GGCUCAAUGGUCUAGAGGAAUGAUUUCUGCUUUGGGUAGUAGUGUAAAUGCGCUUUGAUCCUCUGCAGGAGGUCCCGGGUUCGAUCCCCGGUUGAGCCC